rnacentral:rRNA from 1 species
UACAGAGGUCUCAAGCGUUGUUCGGAUUCAUUGGGCGUAAAGGGCGCGUAGGCUGCGGGGCAAGUCGGGUGUGAAAUCUCAGAGCUCAACUCUGAAACUGCACUCGAUACUGCUUUGCUUGAGGACUGGAGAGGAGAUUGGAAUUCACGGUGUAGCAGUGAAAUGCGUAGAUAUCGUGAGGAAGACCAGUGGCGAAGGCGGGUCUCUGGACAGUUCCUGACGCUGAGGCACGAAGGCCAGGGGAGCAAACGGG